ACUUAAGCAUAUCAGUAAGCAGAGGAAAAGAAAACAACUGUGAUUCCCUUAGUAACUGCGAGUGAAGCGGGAUAAGCCCAUCGUUUAAUCUCCCCGGACUAUGGACGGGGCGAAAUGUAACGGUAUGGAUAGGUUCUCUACCAACUUGAUGUCUGGUCAAAGUCCUCCGGAUUGAGGUGCCAGAGAGGGUUACAGCCCCGUGUGUGACUGGACUGAGUUGGGUAUGUGGCCGAUUCCGAGAGUCGGGUUGUUUGGGACUGCAACCUAAAGUAGGUGGUAAACUCCACCCAAGGCUAAAUAUUGACACGAAACCGAUAGCGAACAAGUACUGUGAAGGAAAGUUGAAAAGAACUCUGAAAAGAGAGUUAAAAGUACGUGAAACCGCUAACGGGGAAGCGGAAGGCAGUGUCGAGAUUGAGUGAGUGAGUCUGUUCAGGUGUCCAACUUGAUGUUGAUGUUGUUGAUGUUGAUGUUGUUGACGUGGGUUCAUGAGCAGGCUAGCUUUGCUUGAUGCGUCAGGACUAUUGGUGUGCGAUGGUUCAAUCGUUGGCAUGGCUUCGGCAACACCUAAUUACUUGAUUAUUAGUUAGGCUUGUGGUUGCGGUCAGCGAUCCACCUCGUGUGCUGAUAUGUGUGGGAUGAGGCGUUGGUGAUGUAGUGUCGGUUGGUGUUGUAUGGUGGUUCGUGCUGGUCACAGUGUGGCUACGUGCGGACAAGUCGUGUGAUAGUUCAACAACCAAUGCCAGCUCCUGACGUGAUACCUAACCUUCCGA
rnacentral:rRNA from 1 species